GACAUUGCAGCCAUCGCCUUCUCCUCGGCAGCAUCAAAGUUAAAUUCGAUCUUGUGCCUUAGAUCGAAGCCUGGAUCAUCCAUACCCAAAGGUAAGUGCCGCUCGGGAACUAACUCUUCCUGAACGGCCAUCGUCUUUUUGCCCUUAGAAGCACCACUACUUGCUGGUACCUUCCUCUUCCGAGUUAAAGGUUGAACUGGAGAAGGAGGAGCGUCAUCAAUAUGCACUAUGGUGGCCGGUGUGGAGGAUGUCCCACUCGACCGUGCGGUCUGGAGCCCGACCCCUUGGUCCACCGCCUGAGACUCCCUAAACCAAUCACGACCGGUCCUUCUGGCCAUAACUUCUGCAAAAUAGCACCACCCACACAACGUUACAAUUCACAAAAUGCAAGUAAAAGACAGUUGACAAAGAGACCUACCAAACACCCUUGAUUUCAGAUCGUUGUAUCUCAGGCAACUAACCAGCUUCCUGGAGGAGAACGGACGAGGUAACUUGAUCAACCUGUCCAGAUCCCUCCGCUCGACAUCAGACAUAUCCUCUUCUGGCCAAGAGGUUAAGGUACGAGGCUUCUUAGUCCAGUAAAGGGGAAACCUAGAGUUCCCGUCAUCAUUAUAAAAGAACGGCCGACCCAUUUCGGUAAUUGACACUUUAAAAAAGUGGUUUUUAAAGUCUUUGUAUGACUCGGCGAAUAAACUGAAGAUGGCAUUUUUUGCCAUAGACGUCAGAGAUACCCAACCCUUCUUGGCAUUGGGGCGGGUCUUAAAGAAAAAUAAGAAUAUUUUUGCGGUCGGUUCAAUAUCUAAGGAGUGACAUAACACACCGAACGCUUGAAUGUAGCCUCAGCCGUUCGGGUGUAACUGAGAAGGGGCUACAUUCAAGCAUCGGAGGACAUCCAUUUGAAACCUAGUCAAGGGGAGUCUCACAUACAUAUCAUACAGAAAGGGCAUAUACAUAAAAAAGUAAUCUUUUCCAAUCACAUCUUCCCCGUGAAAAACCCUUUCAUCGGCUUUACAAGCCAUUAACUUAAGGGCACGCUGGUACCCAAUAUUCCUAAGCACACAAUUAUCCUCUACCCAACGCAACAGUGUUUCUCGAGACCCAAAUGAACUCACCUGCUCCCCAACCUCCCGGGAAGCCCAUAAAUACUCUCUCGGAGAAGGAGAACAACCCUCUUCAGGGCCAUCAACAUCCACUCCUCCAUGAACGAAAACCUUAUCCCCGCUCAGUAAGGAACUGACACAACCAGU
rnacentral:lncRNA from 1 species